rnacentral:rRNA from 1 species
UACGUAGGGUGCGAGCGUUGUCCGGAAUUACUGGGCGUAAAGAGCUCGUAGGUGGUUUGUCGCGUUGUCCGUGAAAACUCACAGCUUAACUGUGGGCGUGCGGGCGAUACGGGCAGACUGGAGUACUGCAGGGGAGACUGGAAUUCCUGGUGUAGCGGUGGAAUGCGCAGAUAUCAGGAGGAACACCGGUGGCGAAGGCGGGUCUCUGGGCAGUAACUGACGCUGAGGAGCGAAGGCGUGGGGAGCGAACAGG